GGGCCAAUAGCUCAGUUGGUAGAGCUGCGGACUUUUAAUCCGUCGGUCCCGGGUUCGAGUCCCGGUUGGCCCA
rnacentral:tRNA from 1 species